rnacentral:tmRNA from 1 species
GGGGGCGACUUGGAUUCGACAGGGGUAACAAAGCAAGUGGGGCAUACCGAGGACCAGUCACCUCGUAAAUCCAUCUGGAAUGCUAUAACUGCCAACGACGAGCGUUUCGCUCUAGCCGCUUAAGCGGCUGGCCUCCGACCUGAUUUGCUCCUGGGUCAGGCAGCGCAAGCUGCAUCGGAGUCAUAGACACGAGAUAAGGUUGUGCCGCGUCGCGAGGCAUAGCUCGAAAACUUAGCGAAUCGCCUGACGUGAGCCUGUUCGGCCGGCGCAUCAGGGCUAAAUUCAAUAGACCGGACUAAGUAUGUAGAACUGCUUGUGGCGUGCUUCUGGACGCGGGUUCGAAACCCGCCGCCUCCACCA